UUACUAACCUGGCAGGGGAGCUAUCACAAAGGUGGUUUUCCCAGGGCAUGGCUCAUCCAUUACACUCCGGAUGUGCUGACCUCUGCCAUUUCCCCAAAUGUGGGAAACCCAGCUGCAUAGUUUGUAGCAGUGGGGGACUGUGUUCAUGCGGACCCCUG